UGAAUUCUGUUCCGCAUCCACAAUUUUAUUUUGCCUUUGAUUACAUUUUGUGCAAUAUUUAGGUACAAUUAUUUGAAUUUAGAAUUUAACAUUGCAUGAGGCGAGUUGGGGAUUUGGACAUAGUUAGUAUUUAAUAAUUAGUUAGUAUUUUUGUUUAAGGCUUAGAUUAUAGACAGAGACAUGGACUGGUAACAUUAUUAUCUUGCAUGUUUUGUUUACAUUAAUAAAUUGUACCCCCGCCAGAAGGACGGAAGCACCGAGUCGCUGGGAAGUCUCAAGAGUCAUCACAGAUGCAUAUUGCCGGUCGUCAGGAAGAGGAGUUGCGAAGAGUUGUCCAACGCAGCCGUCAAUGCGUUUUAAUUGAGCUGCUGGCAUUAUGGUCGUGGAGUUCGUCUCGUGGCAGAGAAGUCGUCUGUGGGGAUUGUAGUUCGGACAAUCACCGAAGGAAGCCAGGUGCGUCGCGUCUUGUGGCCAUAGCUUCAGGAUUGGUUGCUUGGGGCCGCCGGUUCGAGAUUUGUUGCAGAGAGCCGCCGCAACGAGAUUGCCAUGGAAAUGGAUGUAAAAAUAGAAUUUGGUACAUUGAGUGGAAUUUAAUUUAAGGUACUUAAGGAGGAAGCUAGUCUGGGGUACAUUUUGUAAGAGCUAGUUUGGAGGACCUUUGUUAUUGUGCUAUUGCAGCUGGAAUGCCGCGGUUUUGGAGUCAUCAAGUUGCAAUUAGAUAAGUAUUAUAUUUUAAAUAUAUAUUUCCCAGUAAUAGCUUGUGUUCCCUUGUUUCAAUAGUUGGAGUUUUUGAAGCUGGAGCUGCGUGCUUGUGGUCAGCAGGAUGGAGCCGUCUAUUAGCACCUGCUACUUGUCUGGCCGGUUUGUUAUUAUUUAUGUGUCCUUGAGUAAUUUUUGUAUCGCAUUCUCAUUUAUUUUCCUUUCAUUACAGGUCAGCGGAGAAAUCGUUGGAGAUACAAAACUGAGGAAAAAUAUACAAUUUAAGGACAAGUUUAGCAGUGAAUUGGUGUGGCAUCAGCGCCACGCACAUGAUCCUUAUUUGUUCUAUGGCAUCAGGAGGUAGAGACGGCAUCGUAGUGUUGUCAAUUUUUUUGUGUUAAGAGGCAAAAAGUUGGCUUUUUUGUUUUACGUUUGGUGGAGCCGUCUCCUCUUGUCUAAUGCAUAGGAUGUGGGUAAGCUAUGUCUGCCGUGGGUGAGGUAUUUGCUUUAUUUGAUUUUAUUUUGUUUAUUUAAUUUGUUGUUGAUUGUUUGCUUUUAGGUUUUAGCGUCAACUCGCUGUUGGCGCUCUUCAAGCUGGAAAUUUAUGGGAGCAGCAGAGUGUCCUGAUCGACGAGGUGGAAGCGUUGUUGGCCCGUCUUUUGCAGAGCAUCAAUUUGAGUAGAUUUCAGCGGUGAUAAUAGAUACUUCAAAGGACCGUGCGGCAAGAAAAUUUCAGGCUCUGGUUGGUUUUUUUCCGUAUCGUUUCGUCAGGAUCAGCUGGAGUGCGUUGUCGUAAGCUUGUUUAUUCGGGUGCGUUGAGGAAAAUUGGGCUGCGUCGAGGAAGUUGAUGACCGUGAAGGAGUUUGGAGCAGACUGACGUGCACUUUACCGUCGGAUAUAGAUAUCGUUAGAAUAGAUAUAAGUAAGAGUAACUUUAAUUGGAUGUAUCCAUGUCAAGAUUGUUAUCUGUUCCUUGAAUAAUUAAGGCCAAUAAACUGUCAAUUUUCUUUUCUAAA